AGAGUUUGAUCAUGGCUCAGGAUGAACGCUAGCUACAGGCUUAACACAUGCAAGUCGAGGGGCAUCAGUUUGGUUUGCUUGCAAACCAAAGCUGGCGACCGGCGCACGGGUGAGUAACACGUAUCCAACCUGCCUCAUACUCGGGGAUAGCCUUUCGAAAGAAAGAUUAAUAUCCGAUAGCAUAUAUUUCCCGCAUGGGUUUUAUAUUAAAGAAAUUCGGUAUGAGAUGGGGACGCGUUCCAUUAGUUUGUUGGCGGGGUAACGGCCCACCAAGACUACGAUGGAUAGGGGUUCUGAGAGGAAGGUCCCCCCANAUUGGAACUGAGACACGGUCCAAACUCCUACGGGAGGCA
rnacentral:rRNA from 1 species